GUGCCAGCAGCCGCGGUAAUACGGAGGGGGCGAGCGUUAUUCGGAAUUAUUGGGCGUAAAGGGCGCGUAGGCGGCUUGACAAGUCAAAGGUGAAAUCCCUCGGCUCAACUGAGGAACUGCCUUUGAAACUGUCUGGCUUGAGGCCGGGAGGGGGUAGCGGAAUUCCCAGUGUAGCGGUGAAAUGCGUAGAUAUUGGGAGGAACACCAGUGGCGAAGGCGGCUACCUGGACCGGUUCUGACGCUGAUGCGCGAAAGCGUGGGUAGCAAACAGGAUUAGAAACCCGCGUAGUCC
rnacentral:rRNA from 1 species